UGCCAGCCGCCGCGGUAAUACGGGAGUGGCAAGCGUUAUCCGGAAUUAUUGGGCGUAAAGCGUACGUAGGCGGAUUAAUAAGUUAGAGGUGAAAUCCCAGGGCUCAACCCUGGAACUGCCUUUAAAACUGUUAGCCUUGAGAUCGAGAGAGGUGAGUGGAAUUCCAAGUGUAGAGGUGAAAUUCGUAGAUGUUUGGAGGAACACCAGUGGCGAAGGCAGCUUUCUGGAUCAUUACUGACACUGAGGAACGAAAGCAUGGGUAGCGAAGAGGAUUAGAUA
rnacentral:rRNA from 1 species